rnacentral:rRNA from 1 species
AUUGAACGCUGGCGGCAUGCCUUACACAUGCAAGUCGAACGGUAACGCGGGGCAACCUGGCGACGAGUGGCGAACGGGUGAGUAAUGCAUCGGAACGUGCCCAGUAGUGGGGGAUAGCCCGGCGAAAGCCGGAUUAAUACCGCAUACGACCUACGGGGGAAAGGGGGGGAUCGCAAGACCUCUCGCUAUUGGAGCGGCCGAUGUCGGAUUAGGUAGUUGGUGGGGUAAAGGCCUACCAAGCCGACGAUCUGUAGCUGGUCUGAGAGGACGACCAGCCACACUGGGACUGAGACACGGCACAGACUCCUACGGGAGGCAGCAGUGGGGAAUUUUGGACAAUGGGCGCAAGCCUGAUCCAGCCAUGCCGCGUGCGGGAAGAAGGCCUUCGGGUUGUAAACCGCUUUUGUCAGGGAAGAAAUCUUCUGGGUUAAUACCUCGGGAGGAUGACGGUACCUGAAGAAUAAGCACCGGCUAACUACGUGCCAGCCGCCGCCGUAAAAC